CUCUUUCUCUCUCUCUCUCUCUCUCUUUCUUUCUUGACAGGGUCUUGCUCUGUUGCUCAGGCUGGAGUGCAGUGGCACAAUCUUGGCUCACUGCAACUUCCACCUCCCAGGUUCAAGUGAUUCUCCCACCUCAGCCUCCUGAAUAGCUAUGAUUAUAGGCGCACACCAUCAUGCCUGGCUAAUUUUUGUAUUUUUUGUAGAGAUGGGGUUUCACCAUGUUGGCCAGGCUGGUCUUGAACUCCGGACCUCAGGUGAUUUGCCCACCUCUGCCUCUCAAAGUACUAGAAUUACAGGUGUGAGCCACUGCGCUCAGCUGAUUUUCCAAGCUUAAGAUUCGUGUAUGAAUGCAAAGUCAUAUAUCCAUGAAGCCAGAGCUGCCAAGGAAUAUUCUGCGGGUUUCUUUGUAGUUCAAGGUCCUAGUAAUGAACAACUAUGAGUCAUAUUGUAUUGUUAUGAACUUUGUGAAUGUGAACUAAUAUGAAAAAAGUGCUGUCCAGUUUUUUCACAACUAUAUACACAACUAUAUACAAUAUUCUCUGGAAUUGAGACAAUUAAUUCUUUAUAUUUUCAUCUUUUUUGUUAGAUCAAAUGCACCAUUGUAACUCAAUAUUCAGAAAGUUUCUACUCAAAAACAGUUUCAGGGCAUAGUCUACUUCUAUGCAUUUAGGGGAGUACUUUAAAUUUUCUUUCAUUACGCUAAUAAAUUUUCUGUUGUUCGUCAUUCUCCUAUGGCAUUCAUUUUCAGAAUGGAAAGAUUAACAGAAUAUUUCUCCAAGGCAAUACUGACUUUAUUUUAGGUUGCUUUAUUUUAUAGUGUCAAAUAAAAUAAAUAAAUCAGUGUAAAAAGUUAUAUAUAUAUAAUGAUAUAUUAAUAUGAAUAAUUGAUAAUGUGUAAGAAUUGAUUUCCAGAAUUGAGUCUGGUUGGGCCACACUCAAAAUUGGUCCUUUUACAUCUUUUUAAAAAUCUUAUCCACUUUAUGGAAGAUAUCUUGGAAUAUAUAAAUGAAUAGAAGUUUCUACAACAUUAUUUGGAAUCUUCCAAAGAAUGACUGGUUUCAUUCUUAUUUAAUAUUUUAAUAAGCAUAAGUCAACCACUUCAAUAGGUCCUACAAAGUUAUAGUUGGAGUUGUACUAGUUAUAGAUGUGUGGUUGUUAGUCAUAUUAGAUAGUGCUUCUUGGGCCACUUGGGAUAAAAUCUAAUGCAGAGUAAAAUUUUCAAAAGGAUUAUUUCAUUCCAAAUGAAGAGUUCAGCUCAUGUGUAGACUCUAUUUAGAAAAACGAUUAAAUGAAUAACUACAAUUGCUUUCUUCUUACAGUUACUCUUAAAAUGCUGUGAAAGAUUUUAUCAUUGAUUUUGCACCAAAUGUUUUUGCAAGAUUUUCUCACUGGAGUUUUGUACCUGCAGCCACAAGCUAGUGUUUUAGAGAGUUAAAUAAUGUGUGGGGUAAUCUACAUUUGUUAUUAUUAGAUGGCCACUAUUGCAAGUGGCUUUAUUUGAUAGCAUCAUAACUGAUUACCUGAAAAUGUGAGCCAAUAGCUGACCCUUCAAGAAAAAAUCAAUUUGCAAUUUUCACUGUCCACACUUCUGCCAGCUAACAAAUCAACUGCAGAUCUCUGUUCAGCCCCAAAAGGCACUUAAAAUGGGAAAUGAAAUAGCCUUAAGUUUCCUCCAGGAUGAUCCCAUUUAGCCACCAACAGAGAGGAAGUGGACUAGAUGACAGAAGGGCAAAAUUUGUUUAAGGGAAUAGGGAAAGAUUUAAUGAAAAUCCAAAGACCCACAGGAAAGGGAUAAACCUUCCCACUUCAGUGGCUGGCCCCAAAAAUCCCAGUUAAAAAUAAUGGAGCUUUACUGAACGUCACCCAGAUUGUUUUAACCCAGUGCUGGUAUACCCUCUCAAUACUGUCCUGAUCUUCCUUCUCCCUGCUCUGUUUUCCUUUCAACCACAGGCUUCUGCUCUUCUGGGUCCAGUUUGUUUUUCACUUUUUGAUUGUUUCUGAGGAAUUUUAACAUCAUAGGAUUUAUUGGCCAUUUGAAUAGCCUCUUGUGAUUUGCUCUGACUCAUUGUUCUACUGAAUUGUUAAUCUUUUCUUAUUAAUUUGUAGAAGUUAUUUAUAUAUUUGAGGUAAGAGACUUUUAACUUUUGUUUGUGUUGUAAAUAUUUUCUUCCACUCUGCUCUUCCCUUUUCGUUUUUAAAGGUGUCUUUUGGCAAACAGAAGUUAAUAAUUUCAAUGUACGUAUGUGGCUUGGUUCCUUUAUAGUUAGCGUUUCUUAUGUCCUAUUUUAAUUCUUUUCUUACUCUAAAAUCAUGAAACUAUUCUCCUACUGUAUCAUCUUAAUAUUUUUUGCUUUUUUCUUUCAUAUUUAUGCCUAAAAAUUUAAAAUUAAUAUCUAUUUAUUGUGUCAGGCAGGGGUCAAAUUUUUUCUUAAUAUGGAUAUUCAAUUGUCCCAAUAUUAUUUAUCAACAAGAUCCCUUUCUCCCCACUGGUCUAUGAUACCACCUUUCUCAUAAAUCAAGCACCCAUGUGUGGUUAAGUCUGUUUUUGGCUCUCUUUCUAUUUCAUUGGUUAACUUGUCUAUCCUUAUAAUCCUCAUCCAAUCUCUUAACUUGUGCCAAUGUAUUACUACCGAAGCAUUAUAGUCUUGAUAAUCAGAAUCCACUGUUACUCGUGUAAAACAUUUCUUAGCUAUUGACCCUUGGAAUUUCUAGUUAAAUGUAGACUCACUUGUCAAGUUUCAUUUAAAAAAAAAUAAUCAAAGGUGUUUACAUUGGAUAUCUAGAUCCAUCUGGGAAGAAUUAUCCUUUACAAUUUGAUUUCUGCAAUCCAUGAAUUAGUCUUUUCUAUCAGUUAGAGUAUUUAGGUCUUAUUUUUUUUAUCUUAAUAGUGUCUUAUAGUUUUUGGCAUGGUGGCCUUGCAUAUCUUUUGCUAGACUUAUUUUUAGUUAUUUGAUAUUUUUGAAGCUGUUAUAAAUAACAUCUUUUUGUUUUUUUUAUUGCUUGUAUAGAAAAAUUCAAAUAAAUUUUUAAAUAUUGUUUCUAGUAACUUUGCUAAACUCACUUAUGAAUUCUUUUGAUUUGGCUGUAGGUUCUUUUCAACUGUCAGCCUAAAAUAAUAAAAUGUUAAGAAUCUAAUUUAAGGAUAGUUGAUUCAAGAGCAACAUUUGAAGAUAGCCUACCUGGAAACACCAACUGCAGAGGACUAGAAUGUGAUGUUUCAAAAUGUAGCAGCCACCUUACAACCACAAGGCAGCAAAUAUGAAGACAAAUGCCUCCAAGCCAAGGAUGGUGGUGAAGGAGUGGUAAAGACAGACGAGCCUGGGUCCCUGAUACAUUAGGGAGCUAUUUUCCCAGCCCUGGACUGCCUACCUCCCUGGCUUUUGUGUUGUCUGAGACAAAUAAAUGUCUUUUUGUUUAGCUG
rnacentral:lncRNA from 1 species